rnacentral:rRNA from 1 species
GACGAACGCUGGCGGCGUGCUUAACACAUGCCAGUCGAACGGAAAGGCCCUGCUUUUGUGGGGUGCUCGAGUGGCGAACGGGUGAGUAACACGUGAGUAACCUGCCCUUGACUUUGGGAUAACUUCAGGAAACUGGGGCUAAUACCGGAUAGGAGCUCCUGCUGCAUGGUGGGGGUUGGAAAGUUUCGGCGGUUGGGGAUGGACUCGCGGCUUAUCAGCUUGGUGGUGGGGUAGUGGCUUACCAAGGCUUUGACGGGUAGCCGGCCUGCGAGGGUGACCGGCCACAUUGGGACUGAGAUACGGCCCAGACUCCUACGGGAGGCAGCAGUGGGGAAUAUUGCACAAUGGGCGGAAGCCUGAUGCAGCAACGCCGCGUGCGGGAUGACGGCCUUCGGGUUGUAAACCGCUUUCGCCUGUGACGAAGCGUGAGUGACGGUAAUGGGUAAAGAAGCACCGGCUAACUACGUG